UGGAGGGAGAGUCGAGCAAGUUGACGAUGCCGAUGAGCCCCGGAACACCAGGUACCCCAGGCACCCCAGGCACACCGGCUUCCGCUCGUGCUAAAGACAACGUUUGGAGGAGUGUGUUCCACCCAGGUAGCAACCUUGCCACCAAAUCCAUGGGCAACCAGGUUUUCGACAAGCCACAGCCCAACUCUCCCACUGUCUACGACUGGUAUGUAUACGUAGCCUAACCCUAAUAACGCACGCAUAGAACUAGUUACAAAUUUUUAAUCGAAAAAAAAGAAAAAGAACCGAUAGAUACAAAUAUGGAUACUAUAAAAAAAGAACCGAUAGAUACAAAUAUGGAUACUAUAAGUACUGUGAUUAUAUACGUAAAGUUUGUGACCAGUUCUAUUUGUGCGUAUUUCGAAUAUUAACGUAAAUAGAUCUAAGCCGUAGAUCGAGGAUCUGUUUGUUGGGUUUAGAUCUAUAUGGUUUGUUGUUGCGAUCAUGGGUUAACCUUUUAUGUGUGAUGUGAUCUCACAGGCUCUACAGUGGCGAGACCAGGAGCAUCCAUCAUCGUUAAGGUGACGAAGAAACAACUGAGCUGACCAGCAGC
rnacentral:lncRNA from 1 species